UAUAAGAUUAUUGUUAAUUGAAUAUUUAAUGGGUUAAUAUUUAAUAGUGUUAAUUAAUUAUCAACUAUGUCAUCAGAUGAGCAAAACAGCUCCAGUGACAAUGGUGGAAAAGUUUCCACUGAAAGCCCUGCUCGCUUGACUAUGGUUGUUAUCGGUUCUCCAGGGACAGAUUUGUUCCAUACGCCACAUGAGAAGCAGCACUCAAGUACAGUAAAUGCAACCACAACCACUGAUAAAGAUGCAAUUACCUUAAAUGGGCUGAGCUUUGUCUUAGCUUAUGGUACAGGUUCACGUUCCACGGAUGAGGACAGCACAGCAGCGAGGCCGUUACAGUCUGAUGGAGACCUCUCAUUGAUCUCCAAUGAUGAGGAGAGGCUACAUCCCUCAGCUGAGGCUGAAUUUAAGUCAAUGAUGAAUGACACUAUGGCGCCUGCUGCUCAUCUGUCCAGAGGCAGGGGAAAGAUGUCUGCUUUUUUUCACGCUUCGCUGGAAAGCGAGAAUCAAAGAGUCUUGGAGUCUAUUACUCCUUCGCCUGCAAAUGGCAUUCACAUGGUAUCGGCCACUGAUCCAGCAGUAAUUGAUAACCUUGGGGAGUCAAACAAGAGCGUGGAAAGAUGGGGCGAAAACAAGACUGAAAAUUGGACUCUGGAGUCUUUUAAAACUGAUGAUCCUCUGAAUCCUACUGAAGAGGUUUCUUUGAAUAAGAACCAUUCAACCAUUAUGCAUUUUACAGUUUUGCAGGGUUCAGGGCUUUUAACCACUGAGCUUGGUCAAAAUCCAAGAAAUGGAUCUGAGCAUGAGCCAAAAGAACAGAGGAAUCUGCUUUCACCAAGUUCACUCAUCCUUGAUACUCCAUUACAAGUGAAAUCAGCCAGCCAAGUAAUAGUUAAUAAAAUGGCAGAAAGCAACAAAAAUCCCAGCACCAAUGGACCCAAACCCUUCAGGGUGUCACUAAAGCAACCAGACUCAAUGUUUCUAUUCUCCGCUUCAAAGCUGACCCCUGCAAAGAAUCCAGACACAACCACGCUGAAUUCUUUUUCAAACAUGGUAACAGCUGCUGGCAAAAUGCACGUGACAAAACAAUUUGGGGCCUCACAGUUGAUAUCUGAUUCCAUGCAUAGAAUUGUCUCAGCGAGGGACGGACUAGAAAGCAAAUCAGUUUUUCACACCAAAUCAAGUAAAGAGCGUCAAAUUAAACCAACGUUCCAAACUUUACCAACAAGUUUCCUUCAUCGUCUGAAUAAAAGUGACCUUUCUUUGGCCGCUCAAAACUUUUCAUCUUUACUCAAAAUGUCACAUCUUUGUACCAAAGGAGCCAGAACAUCUAAUAUCUCUGUGAUGGAGAAACGUAACAGAAUGGAUGAUUUUCCAGUUUGGCUGAGUGAAUUGAUGGCCUUUAGUACUGCCUCAUUAACCAACGCUGAGGAAGCAACUACUGCGAGUGAUAAGCGAAUGUUCAUGAAACAGACUCAAAGUUCACUUGCUGCUCCUGGAACCCUUUCAAUUCAAGAAGAUGCUUCAAAACAGCUCGAUCAGUUUGAUGAAUUAUCUACAGAGGCGCCUCUUCCACCUCUGACAAAGCUUAAGAAUGUGUUUCAUAUAUUCAAAGUGAGCAAUCAUCAGCCUCGACAUUCUCUAAAUGAUUUUCCCUCAGAGAGAUUAAAGCCUUUUGUAUCGCUUCAAACUCAACCGAUUCCACCUUUGUUUACAUAUGCAACUGUGAGGAGAUUCACAAAUAUGGAAGACUUUACCAAACUUGACUCUGUGAACCAAAACCAAAAAGCCCCAUCUGACAUAUCGGAGAGGCCAAACAUGAUCUCAAACAUAUUAACAAGACACGAAAUAAUAAACACAACCACAAUCAACAAAAACAUAUCACAUUUUAGCAUUCCCCCAACACAUCAGACUCCUAACAACUACAUAUCCACAACAAAGUCCUUUAUUACAACAACUAUGUUUUUAAAACCCCGGGAGUCUUUUGCCAAAAUCUCUCAUGCAGUCCCACAAAAGAAGUCCUUUCUGCUAACAACAACCUUCAGUAAAUCACAAAAUACAGUGACAACAGUUUUAUCCAUCUCUAAGAAACGAUAUAGUGAGUAUGACUUUAUAAAUCACUCGAUGACAACUGGAAACAUUGGAUUGCCAUUAGAUGACAAACAACAUAAAAACCCAAGAGGGACUGUGACGCUUUCUUUGGGCAGCUACACAGUUAGCAGUAUCCCAUCAGUCCAGCAGCUCAUUGAAGCUCACCCUGGAGAGAAAUUCCUCACAGAAACACCGCAAUCACAAUCUGGACUUCAGAUUGAGUCAAACUUAAAGAAGAGAGAUGACACAGUUAAACCAACAACUCUGAAACACCAUGAUCAGAGCAGUCAUUCCGUUGCUGGCAUGAAUCAACCCUUGUUCACGUCAAUUUCGUACAGGAUUGUUUCAAAUCCAAUUCACACUACUGUUUCCCCUGUUGCUCUGUCAAAUACAGAGUUUAAACAACAUUUGACCUUCUCUGCUCUUCCGUCAGUAUCUAUUGAGCAGACAGUGGCGCAGAUAAAUGGACUUGACAAUAACAAAGAUUCGCUUCAUAUGUUUGUCAAUUUAUCAGAAGUUAAAGAGCAUCCUAAGAACAUGACAACCAGCCCAAUUUCUGCCAUCAGUAGGCACACAAUAGAAGGGGCCUUGAACACGUCACCCCUUGAAUCAUUCACUGGAACAACUUCACCAACUUUCCCUUUGGAUCUUAUACAUAUGCAGAAUGUGUUGCAUAAAGAGCAUGUGACUUUAGCUGAAAACCAGACUGAAUUUUUCUCAACAGUGAAUGAGCAUUCACAAACGACGCAAUCAAACUUUCCUUCUGAUGAAAUGUCCAGUUCAGACGCAACAGAAGAUGUACAAAAACACCUUGGGCGGGCUUCGCUGUCUGCUGUUACUGGGGAAAAGUUCUCUCCUAUUGUCCACACGGAUUUGAGUUUCUCAAGUACAGAGACACAAUCACUCCCCAAAGGUUCAUUACAGUCCAGGGAAGGGAGUGAAGAUAUUUCACAUGGCACUGGUCCAUUUGCUGGAAGUGACUCAGGGGUAUCUGCUAAGUUCAUGUCAGAACUGCCAGUGAUAAACAGGAAGAGGAGGAUUAUAUCACCCGAUUCUCUCAGUGGUCUGGCGCAAAUCUCAGAUGAUAUCUGCGGCACUGGCAACUACACAGCAGAGAUGAGUCUGAACUUGGAGAGAGAUAUCAUGCCCGGAGAUCUCAUCCCUGCCCUCGGAAACCUACGCGUCGUCAUCAGCCUCAAAACAAAUAACAGCCAGGUGAACCUAGAGAUAAAAUCCUGCUGCCUCUCGCCCACCGUCAGACUUGAUGAAUUUAACACCACCUGCUGCAUUUUUUCCAGCAGUGCGUUCAGAGUCGAAAUGCGCAUCUCAGAGAGGAAGCAGGGGCCAUCUUCAGCAGCACGGGAAACCGCAUUUCUUUCGGCCCUGUUUUGA
rnacentral:lncRNA from 1 species